rnacentral:rRNA from 1 species
ACGAGAGGUGCGAGCGUUAUUCGGAAUUAUUGGGCGUAAAGGGUGCGCAGACGGUUUGUUAAGUCAAUUGUUUAAUUCCUCGGCCUAACUGAGGAUCAGCAGUAGAAACUGAUAAGCUAGAGUAUGAAAGAGGGAAGUGGAAUUCUCGGAGUAGCGGUAAAAUGCGUAGAUCUCGAGAGGAACACCGAUGGCGAAGGCAGCUUCCUGGUUCAUUACUGACGUUCAUGCACGAAAGCGUGGGGAGCAAACAGG